rnacentral:rRNA from 1 species
UACGUAGGGCGCAAGCGUUGUCCGGAAUUAUUGGGCGUAAAGGGCUCGUAGGCGGUUUGUCGCGUCGGGAGUGAAAACCAUGAGCUUAACUCAUGGCUUGCUUUCGAUACGGGCAGACUAGAGGCAUGCAGGGGAGAACGGAAUUCCUGGUGUAGCGGUGAAAUGCGCAGAUAUCAGGAGGAACACCGGUGGCGAAGGCGGUUCUCUGGGCAUGUCCUGACGCUGAGGAGCGAAAGUGUGGGGAGCGAACAGG